UGCAGUCGAGGGGUAGAGUUAGCUUGCUAGCUCGAGACCGGCGCACGGGUGCGUAACGCGUAUGCAACCUACCUUAAUCAGGGGGAUAGCCCGAAGAAAUUCGGAUUAACACCGCAUAAAAUCACAGAAUAGCAUUAUUCAAUGAUCAAAUAUUUAUAGGAUUAAGAUGGGCAUGCGUGUCAUUAGCUAGUUGGCGGGGUAACGGCCCACCAAGGCGACGAUGACUAGGGGAUCUGAGAGGAUGACCCCCCACACUGGUACUGAGACACGGACCAGACUCCUACGGGAGGCAGCAGUAAGGAAUAUUGGUCAAUGGAGGCAACUCUGAACCAGCCAUGCCGCGUGCAGGAAGACUGCCCUAUGGGUUGUAAACUGCUUUUAUCUGGGAAUAAACCUAUUUACGUGUAGAUAGCUGAAUGUACCAGAAGAAUAAGGAUCGGCUAACUCCGUGCCAGCAGCCGCGGUAAUACGGAGGAUCCAAGCGUUAUCCGGAUUUAUUGGGUUUAAAGGGUGCGUAGGCGGCCUGUUAAGUCAGAGGUGAAAGACGGUAGCUCAACUAUCGCAGUGCCUUUGAUACUGAUGGGCUUGAAUGGACUAGAGGUAGGCGGAAUGAGACAAGUAGCGGUGAAAUGCAUAGAUAUGUCUCAGAACACCGAUUGCGAAGGCAGCUUACUAUGGUUUUAUUGACGCUGAGGCACGAAAGCGUGGGGAUCAAACAGGAUUAGAUACUCUGGUAGUCCACGCCGUAAACGAUGCUAACUCGUUUUUGGGUUUUUAAGAUUCAGAGACUAAGCGAAAGUGAUAA
rnacentral:rRNA from 1 species